UCGCUGACUUCUACAAAAAAAAAAAACACAAACAAAAACUCCCCUCUUGAUGGAGAAACGUUUUGGAUACUGGACUGACUGAAAUAAUGAAGAUUCAAUCAUCUUCCUCUUCCUCAGAAAUGUCUUUCUUCAAAGUAUGUUAUGUAUUUAUGUAUUCUCUCCAGGUACCUAGCUCUAACUCACUUUGACAUGUAUUAAUCCACUGUUGUUCAGUGAUGUACAUACAGAUUCCAUGUACAUGAAAGAUAGUAACACUAUAUGAAUACUAGAGAAUUAUUAUUUUUUAUUUUUUUGGGGGGGGGGGUUGAUUUCCUCUCCAACGUGAUCAUGACGACAUGGUCUGAAGUUUCCUGUUUCUGAUUUUACACUUGUGUUUUAUGAACAAAUGUUUCUCUCAUGAAGAUGUUUGGGUUCCAGGUAAAUGUGAGAGAUCGGGGCUCCGUCUUCUACCUUAUAACAUAACUAUAUAUAUAUAUAUAUAAAACUUAGUGUCGUAGUGUACUAUAUAGGGAAUAGUCUGUUAAUUCUCAGAUUAACUAAACCCUUCAGGCAAGUUUUUCGUCUCUAAAGAGUUCUGCUGAGGUAAAGACAUCGGCAUUCAUAGGUUCGGUUUGCUCCGACACCCAAGAGUUCAGUCUUGUCUGUUUCGACUGGGAAGCAUAAGGUAAGCUUGUGUCUAUCUAGCUCUGGGAAUCAUCUUUGGACCAGGGCCCACUACUGCACUAUAGAGGGAUCAGGGUCCCCCUAGUGCACUAUAGAGGGAACAGGGCCCCCUAGUGCACUAUAGAGGGAACAGGGUCCCCCUAGUGCACUAUAGAGGGAACAGGGUCCCCCUAGUGCACUAUAGAGGGAACAGGGCCCCCCUAGUGCACUAUAGAGGGAACAGGGCCCCCUAGUGCACUAUAGAGGGAACAGGGCCCCCUAGUGCACUAUAGAGGGAACAGGGUCCCCCUAGUGCACUAUAGAGGGAACAGGGCCCCCUAGUGCACUGUAGAGGGAACAGGGUCCCCCUAGUGCACUAUAGAGGGAACAGGGUCCCCCUAGUGCACUAUAGAGGGAACAGGGCCCCCUAGUGCACUAUAGAGGGAACAGGGCCCCCUAGUGCACUAUAGAAGGAACAGGGUCCCCUAGUGCACUAUAGAGGGAACAGGGCCCCCUAGUGCACUAUAGAGGGAACAGGGCCCCCUAGUGCACUAUAGAGGGAACAGGGCCCCCUAGUGCACUAUAGAGGGAACAAGGCCCCCUAGUGCACUAUAGAGGGAACAGGGCCCCCUAGUGCACUAUAGAGGGAACAGGGUCCCCCUAGUGCACUAUAGAGGGAACAGGGUCCCCUAGUGCACUAUAGAAGGAACAGGGUCCCCUAGUGCACUAUAGAGGGAACAGGGUCCCCUAGUGCACUAUAGAGGGAACAGGGCCCCCUAGUGCACUAUAGAGGGAACAGGGCCCCCUAGUGCACGAUAGAGGGAACAGGGUCCCCUAGUGCGCUAUAGAGGGAACAGGGCCCACUAGUAUGCUAUAGAGGGAACAGGGCCCACUAGUAUGCUAUAGAGGGAACAGGGUCCCCCUUGUAUGCUAUAGAAGGAACAGGGUCCCCCUAGUGCACUAUAGAGGGAACAGGGCCCCCUAGUGCACUAUAGAAGGAACAGGGCCCCCUAGUGCGCUAUAGAAGGAACAGGGUCCCCUAGUGCACUAUAGAGGGAACAGGGCCCCCCAGUGCAGAGGGAACAGGGGCCCCCCCAGUGCAGAGGGAACAGGGUCCCCCUAGUAUGCUAUAGAGGGAACAGGGCCCCCUAGUGCGCUAUAGAAGGAACAGGGCCCCCCCCAGUGCAGAGGGAACAGGGCCCCCCCAGUGCAGAGGGAACAGGGUGCUAUUUGGGAUGCAGACAUUUUGUCUGUGCCUCAGCCUUUCUUCAGUGUCUACGUUUCUGUCCGUCCUUCUGAACGUGAUUUGGUAACGAAGAAACCGCUCCAAUGAUCCAGUACGGAAUAAAAGGAUCAUCUCUUCUAGAACUUUCUAGAACUUUCACCUGACUGUCAUGUUUCUUGAAGUCAAUUAAUUCAGUUUAUUUUUUAAACUUUCUCAUGAUCAAUUUGUCAUCAGUUGUUGUGUGUCUGUUCACUCCAAAGGUCUGAAAUGAAUAAAACAAAUCAAAAUGA